CAUCAAGGACGUGGUGGACUGGAUCAAAGUGUGUGACACCUGUCAGCACACAGAAAGGAGUAAAAACCUGGCCAGGACGGUCCGGCCCAUUAAAGUGGACGCACCUUGGGAGAUCGUUGGGAUCGACAUUAUAGGGCCUUUCCCAGAGACGCAGCAGGGGAACUCUAACGUCAUAGUGCUCAUCGAUUACUUCAGUAAAUGGCCCGAAGCUUUUCCGGUUCAGAGGACGGACGCUCUCUCUGUCGCAAAAUGUAUUUCCAAAUGCAUAUACAGGUUUGGUGCCCCUAAAACAAUAGUGUGCACGCAGAACGCUGACUUCUGUGAUGAGGGUUCUCACACGCACCAAGCCCUGGCAGCACAUCACCCCUACUCUCUUCAACCUCCACUGGCUCCCGGUCAAGUCCUGCAUCACUUACAAACUCCUGCUCCUCACCUACAAAUCCCUCCAUGCCCUCUCCCCUCAGUACCUCACAGAUCUCCU